AACGAAAUUUUUUUUAGGUCACGACAGUCUCCGCUUGGGACGCUUUUUCUACCCUUCAACUUAAUGCUAAAAAUCCCUACCUUAUAUGAAUCGAUUCAGUGAAUAUUUUCCUUUAACACUAAACUAAUUUCAUAAUCCCCACAGUGUUCCUCUUCACGGUAAUCUACUCUCAAUUCACUAAACCAUGUCCAAAAGUUCAACUACCAUCUUUUCAAUGUAUCUACUUCCGGUUGUGGGCAGAAUGCUAUCUUUUUAAAAACGAAAUGAUUCUGUAAAAUUACCAGUUUAUUAUUUUCAUUAUCAAUAUA
rnacentral:lncRNA from 1 species